rnacentral:misc_RNA from 1 species
GAUGAAGAACGUAGCGAAAUGCGAUAAGUAGUGUGAAUUGCAGAAUUCAGUGAAUCAUCGAAUCUUUGAACGCACAUUGCGCCCUUUGGUAUUCCUUAGGGCAUGCCUGUUCGAGCGUCAUUUAAACCUUCAAGCUAAGCUUGGUCUUGGGUGACUGUCCGCCUCACGGCGGACUCGCCUCAAAAUUAUUGGCGGCCGGUACAUUGGCUUCGAGCGCAGCAGAAACGCGAACUCGGGCCCGUCGUAUUGGCUCCCAGAAGCUAUCUUCACAAUUUUGACCUCGGAUCAGGUAGGGAUACCCGCUGAACUUAAGCAUAUCAAUAAGCGGAGGA